UCCGGUUGAUCCCGCCGGAGGUUACUGCUAUCGAGGUUCGACUAAGCCAUGCGAGUCGAAUGUAGCAAUACAUGGCGUACUGCUCAGUAACACGUGGAUAACCUACCCUUGAGAUGGGGAUAAACCCGGGAAACUGGGUAUAAUACCCAAUAGAUCUCGACUGCUGGAAUGCAUCGAGCUCCAAAGCUCCGGCGCUCAAGGAUGGAUCUGCGGCCUAUCAGGUAGUAGUGGGUGUAGUGUACCUACUAGCCUACGACGGGUACGGGUUGUGAGAGCAAGAGCCCGGAGAUGGAUUCUGAGACACGAAUCCAGGCCCUACGGGGUGCAGCAGGCGCGAAAACUUUACAAUGCUGGAAACAGCGAUAAGGGGACCUCGAGUGCCAGGUUACAAAUCUGGCUGUCGUGAUGCCUAAAAAGCAUUGCAUAGCAAGGGCCGGGCAAGACCGGUGCCAGCCGCCGCGGUAACACCGGCGGCUCGAGUGGUAACCGUUAUUAUUGGGUCUAAAGGGUCUGUAGCCGGCCGGAUAAGUCUCUUGGGAAAUCUGGCAGCUUAACUGUCAGGCUUUCAGGAGAUACUGUCUGGCUCGAGGCCGGGAGAGGUGAGAGGUACUUCAGGGGUAGGGGUGAAAUCUUGUAAUCCUUGAAGGACCACCAGCGGCGAAGGCGUCUCACCAGAACGGACCUGACGGCAAGGGACGAAAGCUAGGGGCACGAACCGGAUUAGAUACCCGGGUAGUCCUAGCCGUAAACGAUACUCGCUAGGUGUCGGCAACGGUGCGACCGUUGUCGGUGCCGUAGGGAAGCCGUGAAGCGAGCCACCUGGGAAGUACGGCCGCAAGGCUGAAACUUAAAGGAAUUGGCGGGGGAGCACCACAACGGGUGGAGCUAGCGGUUUAAUUGGAUUCAACGCCGGAAA
rnacentral:rRNA from 1 species